UACGUAGGGUGCGAGCGUUUGUCCGGAAUUAUUGGGCGUAAAGAGCUCGUAGGCGGUCUGUCGCGUCGAAUGUGAAAAUCCGGGGCUCAACCCCGGACCUGCAUUCGAUACGGGCAGACUAGAGUUCGGUAGGGGAGUCUGGAAUUCCUGGUGUAGCGGUGGAAUGCGCAGAUAUCAGGAGGAACACCGAUGGCGAAGGCAGAUCUCUGGGCCGUAA
rnacentral:rRNA from 1 species